rfam:Triticum aestivum genome assembly, contig: Triticum_aestivum_CS42_TGACv1_scaffold_374437_5AL
AUAUUACUCCCUCCGUCCGAAAAUACUUGCAUCAAAAUGGACAAAAAAGGGUGUAUCUAGAACUAAAAUACAUCUAGAUACGUCCCUUUUUAUUUAUUUUGAUGACAAGUAUUUCUGGACGGAGGGAGUAAUAU